rnacentral:rRNA from 1 species
UACGUAGGGUGCGAGCGUUAAUCUGAAUUACUGGGCGUAAAGCGUGCGCAGGCGGCGCCGCAAGUCAGGCGUGAAAUCCCCGAGCUUAACUUGGGAAUGGCGCUUGAAACUACGGUGCUGGAGUGUGGCAGAGGGAGGUGGAAUUCCACGUGUAGCGGUGAAAUGCGUAGAGAUGUGGAGGAACACCGAUGGCGAAGGCAGCCUCCUGGGCCAACACUGACGCUCAUGCACGAAAGCGUGGGGAGCAAACAGG